rnacentral:rRNA from 1 species
UACAGAGACUGCAAGCGUUAUUCGGAUUCACUGGGCGUAAAGGGUGCGCAGGCGGUCGGGUGUGUCAGAUGUGAAAUCCCGAGGCUCAACCUCGGAACUGCGUCGGAAACUACUCGACUAGAGUACUGGAGAGGGUAACGGAAUUCACGGUGUAGCAGUGAAAUGCGUAGAUAUCGUGAGGAACACCAGAGGCGAAGGCGGUUACCUGGACAGUUACUGACGCUCAGGCACGAAAGCAUGGGGAGCAAAAGGG